CCUGGGGCUGAAGUAGGUCCCAAGGGUAUGGCUGUUCGCCAUUUAAAGUGGUACGCGAGCUGGGUUUAGAACGUCGUGAGACAGUUCGGUCCCUAUCUGCCGUGGGCGCUGGAGAAUUGAGGGGGGCUGCUCCUAGUACGAGAGGACCGGAGUGGACGCAUCACUGGUGUUCGGGUUGUCAUGCCAAUGGCACUGCCCGGUAGCUAAAUGCGGAAGAGAUAAGUGCUGAAAGCAUCUAAGCACGAAACUUGCCCCGAGAUGAGUUCUCCCUGAGACUUUAAGUCUCCUGAAGGAACGUUAAAGACUAUGACGUUGAUAGGUCGGGUGUGUAAGCGCAGCGAUGCGUUGAGCUAACCGAUACUAAUGAACCGUGAGGCUUAACCUU
rnacentral:rRNA from 1 species